GCACGCCAUCCAUCUGUCUUUGGAUGCCUCAGAACAGUUUCUCCUUGCUCAUCUAAAGUCACCACCUUGGGGCGUUGCUCCAUUCUGCAGAUGAAGAAACUGAAGACCAGAAAGGUCAGGGUGAACUAUCCAAGGAUGCAUAGCAAGCAACUCAGUGGCAGAGCUGGUACCCAGUUGUCCCAUUUGUCUGCCCCUCCCAUUCCCAGCCCUCUUUGCAGGGGCUAAUCCAGAAAGCCUGUUCUGAGCUCUGCACCUAAAUAAAAUGCCCCUCCCACCCC